rnacentral:rRNA from 1 species
UUUCGUAGGUGACCUGCGGAAGGAUCAUUAUUGAAUACGAUUGGUACUGAUGCUGGCUCUUAACUGAGCAUGUGCUCGUCCAUCUAUUUAUCUUCUCUUGUGCACAUUUUGUAGUCUUGAAUGUACCUCUCGCAGUCAAAUGCGGUUUGGGAGCUUGGGCGCAAGCCCUUCUCCUGCUUCUUCAAGGCUAUGUUUUCAUAUACACUAUAAAGUUACAGAAUGUCUUUUAACGAUUGCGCUUGUCGUAGUCAUUAAACCUAUACAACUUUCAGCAACGGAUCUCUUGGCUCUCCUAUCGAUGAAGAACGCAGCGAAAUGCGAUAAGUAAUGUGAAUUGCAGAAUUCAGUGAAUCAUCGAAUCUUUGAACGCACCUUGCGCCCUUUGGUAUUCCGAAGGGCAUGCCUGUUUGAGUGUCAUUAAAUUAUCAACCUUGCUCGCUUUUACCGGCUUGAGUUAGGCUUGGACUUGAGGGCUUGCUGGCUUCCUUCAGUGGAUGGUCUGCUCCCUUUAAAUGCAUUAGUGGGAUCUCUUGUGGACCGUCACUUGGUGUGAUAAUUAUCUAUGCCACUUGACCUUGAAGCAAACCUUAUGGGAACCCGCUCAUAACCGUCUUCGGACAACUUUUGACAUUUUGACCUCAAAUCANGUAGGACUACCCGCUGAACUUAAGCAUAUCAAUAAGCGGAGGAAAAGAAACUAACAAGGAUUCCCCUAGUAACUGCGAGUGAAGCGGGAAAAGCUCAAAUUUAAAAUCUGGCGGUUCUUGUAGCCGUCCGAGUUGUAAUUUAGAGAAGUGUAUC